CAGAAUACCUCUUAGCAUCUCCCCAGGUGGAGAUCCUGAGGAGCUGGCUUUCUGUUUCUAGGAGUGUCAUGGUGACAUGGAAUAGAAGUGCUUUGGAGAGAGCAUGAAGCAGAUGUUAACAUUCUACCACUGACUACAGGGGCUGGAUAGUGUGGCCAAGAAAGUCUUUGGUUGCCUAUAGAAGCAUUCAUGAAAGGCUUGUUAGCUCCAGCUACUUCCUCUUUAAGGGGGAAUGGAGCCUAUUAACUUAUGAUUUCAAAAGAUCUGGAGGGAGCCAUCUGGCAUUCCAAAGUUCAGGUGAUCCUGCAACCUGUCUUUGU
rnacentral:lncRNA from 1 species